rnacentral:lncRNA from 1 species
UAAACCGUUAUCCGCGAUCAAGACCGCAUUUCUGCACAAUAUAGAGUCGAAUGUGAAUUUGUCAAAAUAGUGGUUGAUUCCAUGAAUUUCUGUCUAGUGUCUCGUCUAUAGGAGGACAGCCACUUCCGAGGAGAUCUUUUACUGGAAAAUACUGGUACACCCUUCCUGCACCGCCAAAAAGAGGACUGUCGCGCUCAGACUAGUUUACUAAAUCCAAACUAGCACAGAACAGGGCUUAUUGGAAUACAUAUAGCUGUGAUGACAUGCACUCUUGAAUCAUUGUCAAAACAGCGAUGAUAUCAGGUGUUCGCAAAAGUUGAACAUUUCCAGCAGCCGUCGUGAGUUCUGCUAUUAUAGCUAUGAAGACCGUCACUUCAUCUAAUACGAUGAAAAAAAAUGUGUAAGAGUUUCGCCAAAGAGAUGAAAAGGUUUGUGUAUGUUGAUAAUGCAUAAAACAAAUUUAAUGUUUUAAAAAGUCGCUGAAAAUAACAAUUCCGGACAACAUGCCUAAAAGGACAAAAUAAUCCAUAACAUGAAGGUCAGCCCUCAGCACGAGGAUAUGAGGCUGGUAUGUACUGGGUUUGCAUCUCUGUACCGGUUCUCAUCUACAGCGAGUUUUAACGACUCGCUAGGGGCUACGUAUGAACUGAUAUUACACACCCUCCGGGGAACGAGCAUGAACCGGGCAGCUGGCGGAGGCACACGCCCUUUCAAUCAAGAUACGCCAUUUACUUCCAGGAGGAAUCUUUCUUUUGUGUUCCGUGUUUGAUUCUAUUGCCAACACUGGCCCUUUAAUACAACAUGGCGGUAAUUUCUUUGGAAGACCAUAGACACGUGGACGCGUGGAACCAGCAUUGAGAGUAUAAAUAUACACGUGUAAUUAACAUGUCAGCCUCUUAUUGGUUUCCAAACACUCAAACAUUGUCCUUUCUGACAGCGAGAAGAAAAAACUAAAUUAAAAUCUUCUCAAACGAAAGGAAAAAAAACCCCGUUUGUUGAACUGUCCAGCUCAGUGUUUACUCAUUGAUUGUUAGGUGUCAAACUCUUUUUCGAUUAGUUACGAGUGUUUUUAUAAGCACUUUACCACAAACAGGACAGCACAUGUCUCGGUCUUUAAUACAUAUAGCAUCGAUUGCAUGGAACAGCGGAAUUUUUUUUUCUUCAGACGGGAAUCGAUUUGAGGAAUAUUAUCAAAAGACAAGCUAUUAUUGAUUCUGUAUUUGCUAAAUGUCAAAGAAGAUCAGCAAAAAAUGGAAAGGAAUUCAAUUUGUUUAAUAUGUUUUAGGAUAGUGUGCGACCCCUAAACAAGUAACCGUGGAAACUAAUCAAAUUGGUCAGUCAAAUGUAAUUGAAGUUUUUUUUUUUUCUACAGUUAACUGAUUUAAAAUAUUACGAGCCGAACACAAUAUUAAAAGAAUGUACAUUAUUAGUUUAAAUGUCACAGAAAACUAUUGAAGCCGCUCACCCUACUUUCUGAGGUAAGGACUUUGUAUUUAUUCCAUUUGUUCGUAAUCGGUAUGCGUAUACGUGUACGUAAUUAAUGCAUAGAUACGAACACACGUACGGAGACGCAUAAAUGGAAUUUACUCCACCUACUUGCAUAGAAAAUGACUGCUACGAAUUACGCAUUGCGGUUUUACGUAUUAUGUACACACAUGUAUAUAGGGAUUACGACCAAAUGGAAUAUGCGUCAACCAGUCCGAUCAGGCCGACAUGGAACAUAUUGGAUUUGCUAAAAGUGAUAAUUUAAGUGAAGACUUGUAGGUAAUGUGCAAGUUAAUAGAAACGCUGUAAUAGACGAAAACACUUUACUGCUUAAAAACUAGGGUCAGCGGCUUUAAUGAAAACUAGACACACGGGGAGAAUGGGUGGUAGUAAAAGUCCCUCAGUAUGCUUGAUUAAAGUAAUGUUUGUAAAGCAAAAUAAGGCAAGUCAAAACAAGAUAGGGCAGGGUUGGUCAAGACUAAGUGGGUUUUUUUUUUUAAGUUAAAGUUUGUUUUGUUUAACGACACCACUAGAACACAUUGAUGUAUUAAUCAUUGGCUAUUGCAUGUCAACAUUUGGUAACUCUGACAUAGU